UGGCUGGCGCGGUGGCGGUCGCGUGACGGGCCGGCCGGGCGCUGCUCGCCAAGAUGGCGGAUGAGGAGGGCGAAGGGCUGCCGCGCUCGGCGGCGGCGCCGCACCGGAACGGCGGCGGCGGCGGCGGGGCCCUGGCGGGGCCGGGGGGUCCCCGCGUCGUCCGCAUCGUCAAGUCGGAGUCCGGCUACGGCUUCAACGUGCGCGGCCAAGUGAGCGAGGGCGGCCAGCUGCGGAGCAUCAACGGCGAGCUCUACGCCCCGCUGCAGCACGUCAGCGCUGUGCUGGGCGGCGGGGCGGCCGACCGCGCCGGGGUGCGCAAGGGGGACCGCAUCCUGGAGGUGAAUGGGGUGAAUGUGGAAGGGGCAACUCACAAACAAGUGGUGGACCUGAUUCGCGCAGGAGAGAAGGAGUUAAUUCUGACCGUGUUGUCUGUACCUCCCCACGAGGCAGAUAAUCUUGAUCCGAGUGAUGACUCUUUGGGGCAGUCGUUCUAUGACUACACAGAAAAACAAGCUGUGCCCAUCUCCAUCCCCACAUACAAGCACGUGGAGCAAAACGGCGAGAAGUUUGUGGUGUACAAUGUUUACAUGGCAGGCCGCCAGCUCUGUUCGAAGCGGUACCGCGAGUUUGCCAUCCUGCACCAGAACCUGAAGCGGGAAUUUGCCAACUUCACUUUCCCGCGUCUCCCAGGGAAAUGGCCCUUCUCCUUGUCGGAGCAGCAGCUGGACGCCCGGCGGCGAGGGCUCGAGGAGUACCUGGAGAAAGUGUGUUCGAUACGAGUCAUUGGGGAGAGUGACAUCAUGCAAGAGUUUCUGUCGGAGUCGGAUGAGAAUUACAACGGCGUCUCAGACGUGGAGCUCAGAGUAGCAUUACCAGACAUAACGACAGUGACAGUCAGGGUCAAAAAGAACAGCACUACAGACCAGGUAUACCAGGCUGUGGCUGCUAAGGUUGGAAUGGACAGUAUUACCGCAAACUACUUCGCCUUGUUUGAAGUGAUCAAUCACUCCUUUGUGCGCAAGCUGGCGCCCAAUGAAUUCCCCCACAAGCUCUACGUGCAGAACUACACCUCGGCAGUGCCGGGAACGUGCCUGACCAUCCGGAAAUGGCUUUUCACUACAGAAGAAGAAGUUCUUCUCAACGACAAUGACCUUGCAGUCACCUACUUCUUCCAUCAGGCUGUUGAUGACGUCAAGAAAGGCUACAUCAAAGCAGAGGAGAAGUCCUACCAGUUACAGAAGCUGUGUGAGCAGAGGAAGAUGGUCAUGUAUUUAAACAUGCUGCGGACGUGCGAGGGUUACAACGAGAUCAUCUUCCCCCAUUGCUCCUGUGACUCCCGGCGGAAGGGCCAUGUGAUCACAGCUAUCAGCAUUAAGCACUUUAAACUCCACGCCUGCACAGAGGAGGGCCAGCUGGAGAACCAGGUAAUAGCAUUCGAAUGGGACGAAAUGCAGCGGUGGGACACGGACGAAGAGGGAAUGGCGUUCUGCUUUGAAUACGCACGAGGAGAGAAGAAACCUCGAUGGGUUAAAAUCUUCACCCCGUAUGUAAGUGCCCCUGUUAUCUGCGUUUUCACUAAAGAGAGGCUACAGCCUGCUUAUUUUCCUUCUAGAAACUGGAGUGAGAGUCCCACGCUCCAGUUCUAAGUCCGAGAGGAGAUUAAGAGUUCAACUACAUGCACGAGUGCUUCGAACGGGUUUUCUGCGAGCUCAAGUGGAGGAAGGAGAAUAUCUUUCAGAUGGUCAGGUCACACCAGAGGGACGCGGCCACUUAGCCCCUCGUCACGGAAGAACGUAACCCCCCUGGCCCCCCAAAUUAACACUUAAAAUUGUCAUUGUAUUAAAGCCCUUAAACUAAAUAUUAUUAAUAAUAAUACCAUUUGUGAAACUUCAUGUUUAUGGAAUUAAGCAAGUAGGCAAAUGGCAGGUUCAGCAGAGAAAAGAAGGGAAAAACAGUGUUCGAUGACAGACGAAAUCCACCCGAGGGUGUUUUGUCUCCUCUUUCCUUUCCACUUGGGUCCUAUAUUAGAAGACGGACUGUACUUAUAUUUUUUACAACUGGAAAUAGAAAUGUCAUCCAUUUGCACUGUUCAGACAUAUAUAUGUAUGUAUGUAAAGGAAAAAAAAAAGCCCCCAAGAAGCUAUAUAUACAAAUACCAUGCACGUAUAUACAUAUAUAUAUUUCUUUUAAAAUUUCAUAUCAGUGGCAGUACCUUUUUUAAGCUUGCGUUUUUACACGCAUCUGUCCUUUGAACCCGUUGUGUUUUUUUUAAGAACUAACUUUAGAGAAAAAAAAAAAGAAAAAAGAAAAAAAAAAGCAACUUUACAGGGAAAUACCUCUCCUGGCAAAAGGACCUCUACACGUUUACAAGCUUCUGCCUUUUUUUUUCUUUUUUCUUUUUUUUUUCCUGGAUUUUUUGGAGGUUUUUGUGGUUUGGUUUGGGGUUUUAUAACACGGACUUUUAAGCGAGCGUGGGGAGCGUCCGGCUCCGGGAGCCAGAGCAGGGUCAGCGCCAGGGGAGCGCAGCUGGCUUGGCCGAGGUCGGAUAUCGCGGAUUGCCGGUCUGGGUUGGACCUGGAGCAUGUUGAGAGUCGGGAAAGACCCUCCUGGUCUGUUCUGCACUUUGCUACCAGGAGUGAAAUUCUGGGCCAAAAAACCCGGCCUGGCCUGGUUCUGGCCCGUGUAUCUCUGUUCCUGGCCCGUAUAUCUCAGUUCCUGACUCCUUGGUGGGGUUUCCACCCCGCGAGGGUCUCGCUCUGCCGAAGAGCCACCCUACGAGGGGGAAAACCCUCAAAUCCCCUCGCUUUGAGGGUUGGAACCGUUCGGGCCGCCGGCGCUGGGCAGGGUGACGGCGACGCGCGCGCUCUGGCUUUUCGCCUGCCUUUUAAAGCUCGGGGGCAACGGGGCCGGAUCCCGGCGUUAGCCCGGGCUGCUGCGACUUGCUGCUGCUCUUCCCCCAUCCCAUCCCGUCCCGUCCCGUCCCUCUGUGCCGUUUGGGAGAGGCGCUGGAUGCAGCUUCCCGGGAUUGGAGGUGGGUUUGCGCGGUCCACGCGGCUCGGCACGUCCGUCUGUGCCCCUCGGGAAGCGUCGCUGUCCCCUCGCGUCCUGCCCCGCGCCGCCAGCGAGAGCGGCCCGCUUGGACCCCGAUGAAGCAGAGCUGGGCGCGAUGGUGGUGUGAGACCCCCCGGGCUUUUUCGGUCGCUCCAGGAGUCAGAAACAGCCGGCUUCAGCCAAGGUGGCAAGCGAUGCUGCCCUGAGGGAACCGCGACCAUCUCUGGCAAGGGGCUCAAGCAGCUGAGCAGAGCGAGCAAGAAGAAAUAAGGUAGAAAUGAGGUAGAAAUCCAGUUUAUCUUCUCUUGAAUGAGCUUCGGGGGCUUUUUGCCGAGCUCAGGCUGCCGUUUGCACCUCUCGCCUGCAGGUCCUGGCCUCGGCGAGCCUCUACCUGCCGUGGCCUGGCCGCCCGCGCCGUGGGCUCGCGCCCCGCCAAAGCCCGGCGGUUGAGCUGCUGCCUAACCCUGCGCUUAAAAGCAACCGGUCCCAAAUAGCGGCUUUAAGCUGUGCCGGGAGGAUGCUGAGCUCUGGGGCACGCAGCGGGCUGGGAUGUUUCUUGCUAGAGCCGAGCAUCAGCCGCCAGCACUAACGCCCGAGCGUCUGCAAACGCCUCGAGCCGGAGCCUGCGUAAAGCCUCCGCCGUGUCCGCAACCCCUGCUGCGUUUUCUGGCUCAAACGAGCCCCCGGCGAUGGUGGUUGGGUUAAGAAAAGCCCCUCCGAGCCGUUUUUGAGGGCUUUGGGGCUCGGCGCUUUUUGGCAGAGCUGAAGCCCGGGCUCAGCGCUGCUCCCCAUCGCGUCGCUGCCCUUCGCGUGCUCCCUCGCAAGGUAGUUUAUUUCCUUGCGAUUUUCCCUCCUGUCCUGCGCCCUUUAGGCUCGGCUCCCUCUCGCCUCGAAUCGCUUCCCAGUCUCUUGCACGGGACGCCGGAACCGCAGGGAGCUCCGGCGAAGGCCGCGGCUUGCGUUCCCGACGCUGGAUGCGCCCGGGGCAGCGGUUUCUCCCGACACUACAGGCUUGUGGCUUUGUAGCUCCCCGAGGUACCCUGCAGUUUUGUGCAGCUUUCUGAAUGUUUGAGCCGUGCUGAUCCCGCUGCUUCGCCCGCCACGACGAACAAAACGUGGAUAGGGAACAGGCGGGCGCCGGUGGUGAACAAUCGGAGCAGCGUGUGUACGUGUGUGUGUACCUACAGCCAGCGCAGUUUGGAUGGGAGAGGCAGGCGACGCCGAGCUGCAACCACGCGAAACGUUUCCAAAAGCGCCUUUGCUCAGUGCUUUCCCCUCUCUGGCUUUGGGUUUCGGGAGCGAGGGGGGUGAUUUCACGGCACGGAUGGGGUGCGAGUCCCUUUUACCCGUUUUUUGGGAGAGGCUGAGAAAAGCCGCGCUGCCAGCACCGGUCUCCGCCGCCGCCGCGGUGCCGGGAGCCGGGCGAGCUCAUCUGAUGAGCCUUGCCGGCCUUUUUCCUCGUCUCCCUUUUCCCCAAGGAAAUCCCUUUCCGCAUCCAUCCCGCCCUCCGAGCUCCUGUCGGGAUGCUCACGUGUCUCCCGCUCGGAUCGGGGCAGCGCCGGGGCCUGGAGGAGCCGCGGGAGGGGCCCAGGCGUCCUGGCACGCUCUCCCUGGCGGGCGUCCAACGCAGGCAGAGUUUAGCGGCCUGACCCGAGCCCUGGUUUCUCUCCAAGGCUGCCGGGGGAGAUUAAGGAAUAAGGAAAAGGCGACUUAAAAUCCCGGGCGACUUAAAAUCCCGGGCGGAUGCUGCCCCGUAAACGGCCCCUUGCCGAAGCGGCUGCCGCGGCGCUCGGUUACUUCCCAUCUCCCGACCCUGGAGGGUUUUUAGCAUUAAAUUCCCGGCUUGGAUCGACGCUCCUCCUGGCUCCCUUGCUGUGCGGCAAAGCCCGCAGCCGGGCCGCGGAAGAGAGCAAAAGCGAGGGCCGUAAAUGGGGAAUUAGCCCGGCGUAAUGGGAUUUGUGCUCCGCCGGCUCCCGGGCCGUUGUCCUUAGGAGCCCGCGGCUGCUCCCAAACGCCCCCUUUGCGUGCGCUUAAAACGUGGGAAAACAGCUCUGCUCUUCUUCACAUCUACAGAUGUGCAGGUUUUGGUGGGUUUUCCGUCAUUCUCAGCCCCUCCGAAAUCGCCCGGCUGGCGGCGGCUCCCGCGGGGUUUCGGCAGUCCCCGGUGCGAAGCGGGUUCGCGUUUUGGUUCCCGAUCUUUAUAAUUUUUUUUUUUCCUCGAGAAAAUGGCAACCGAGGGCCGGCACCCGCUGCUUUAGGCCGAGCCUAAGUAGGUCAGGAAGCGCCGCGGAGAGCUGCCGCUGCCGCUUUCCACCGCUGCCCGAAUUCGGCGGUUUGGGCGGCCGGGGCGGGGGGGGCCGCAUCCCCGCUCCCCCCCCAUCCGCCGCAGCAGCCAGCAGCCCCGGGGAGGAGGAGGAGGAGGAGGAGGAGGAGGAGGAAGAGCCGCUCUUCGGCGUCUCUCUGCAGGGGGGGGAGGCCGGUUUCAGCCCUGGGCCGAAGCUCUUGGCUUUUCCCAGCGGGGCCCCGCAGCGGUGGCUCAUCCGUGCAAUGAAAGCGCCAGUCCUCAGCAAUAACCCACCCGUCGGGCCUGGCCGUAGGUGCGGGGGGGGGGGAUCCCCGCGGUGGGGACGCGAUGGGGACGCGAUGGGGACAACCUGCCCGCUGCCAAAUUGACAACCCCCUGCAAUCCUUUAUUUUGGUUUAUUUUGAGCCUGUAAGACCCGCCCCCGCCGCCCCGAUUUCAACGCCAUGCGCAUCCUGUUUAAUUUAUUUGAGAGGACUCUAAUUGUGUUUUCACUGCAGUAUCUUGUAUUUUUUAUUUGUGAUUCAGAAAUGUGAAGAAAAUGGGGGGGGGGAGAAAAAACCCACAAAAAAGCCCCCUCCUCCCUCCCUGAACUGCUAACAGUGUUUCAUUCCUUGUUCUCUAGAGCUAACCACUGAGAUUGUUUGGUAAAGUCACUUAGUGUAAUUAAUUGUAACAUAUUCUUUUAAAUAAAUUGAUUUAUUGAUGAAACUACUAGUAAAA